CACUGAACAAUUCUUUGACAUUUACUCUAUUCUUAUCGUUGGCAACUGAAAAUUAAAUUAGAAAUUUCAACAUUAAUUCGGCAAAAAAACAUCGGUUUAGAGUUCUCCCCAAGGAUUUGUAGUUAUUUUGGUCGGUGCUUCCUUCCGCUGCAAUUCCGUCUGUGGUUCACUGCCACUGGCCUUGCUUUUUCAACGAUAUAACUGUUUUCUUGUGAUUUUUGCUGCUGCAAUCCCGUCUGUGGUUCACUGCCUCUGGCCCUGCUUUUCCAACGAUAUAACUGUUUUUUUGGUAACUUCUACCGCUAAGACUUUGUUGCUUUUUCCCUUUUCCCUAAAAACAUAAUAGUGCUACAAAGCUCAAUAACAAUAUGGAAACAAAUGUUAAUAAGCCACAAUAAUAUUGACAAUAAAUAAGAUUUCACUACGA
rnacentral:lncRNA from 1 species